AGAGCGAACGCUGGCGGCAGGCCUAACACAUGCAAGUCGAGCGCCCCGCAAGGGGAGCGGCAGACGGGAGAGUAACACGUGGGAACGUACCCUUCAGUUCGGAACAACCCAGGGAAACUUGGGCUAAUACCGAAUACGUCCGUAAGGAGAAAGAUUUAUCGCUGAAGGAUCGGCCCGCGUCUGAUUAGCUUGUUGGUGAGGUAACGGCUCACCAAGGCUACGAUCAGUAGCUGGUCUGAGAGGAUGAUCAGCCUCACUGGGACUGAGACACGGCCCAGACUCCUACGGGAGGCAGCAGUGGGGAAUAUUGGACAAUGGGCGCAAGCCUGAUCCAGCCAUGCCGCGUGGAUGAUGAAGGCCUUAGGGUCGUAAAGUCCUUUCGACGGGGAAGAUAAUGACGGUACCCGUAGAAGAAGCCCCGGCUAACUUCGUGCCAGCAGCCGC
rnacentral:rRNA from 1 species